CUGCGGAAUAGCUCCGGGAAACUGGAAUUAAUACCGCAUACGCCCUACGGGGGAAAGAUUUAUCGGGGAAGGAUUGGCCCGCGUUGGAUUAGCUAGUUGGUGGGGUAAAGGCCUACCAAGGCGACGAUCCAUAGCUGGUCUGAGAGGAUGAUCAGCCACAUUGGGACUGAGACACGGCCCAAACUCCUACGGGAGGCAGCAGUGGGGAAUAUUGGACAAUGGGCGCAAGCCUGAUCCAGCCAUGCCGCGUGAGUGAUGAAGGCCUUAGGGUUGUAAAGCUCUUUCACCGGAGAAGAUAAUGACGGUAUCCGG
rnacentral:rRNA from 1 species